rnacentral:rRNA from 1 species
CCUACGGGAGGCAGCAGUGAGGAAUAUUGGUCAAUGGGCGGGAGCCUGAACCAGCCAUCCCGCGUGCAGGAAGGAUGCCCUAUGGGUUGUAAACUGCUUUUUCGCAUGAAGAACAUCCCGAACGAGUUCGGGACUGACGGUAAUGCGAGAAUAAGCACCGGCUAGCUCCGUGCCAGCAGCCGCGGUAAUACGGAGGGUGCAAGCGUUAUCCGGAUUUAUUGGGUUUAAAGGGUGCGUAGGCGGCGAAAUAAGUCAGUGGUGAAAUCCUGCAGCUCAACUGUAGAACAGCCAUUGAAACUGCUUUGCUUGAGUGAUCUUGAGGUAGGCGGAAUGUGUAGUGUAGCGGUGAAAUGCUUAGAUAUUACACAGAACACCGAUUGCGAAGGCAGCUUACCAAGGGUUUACUGACGCUGAUGCACGAAAGCGUGGGGAUCAAACAGGAUUAGAUACCCUGGUAGUCACGCCGUAAACGAUGAUAACUCGCUGUUGGCGAUACACAGUCAGCGGCUUAACGAAAGCGUUAAGUUAUCCACCUGGGGAGUACGCUCGCAAGAGUUGAAACUCAAAGGAAUAGACGG